UACGGGGGGGAGCAAGCGUUGUUCGGAUUUACUGGGCGUAAAGGGCGUGUAGGCGGCCACCGCAAGUCGGUUGUGAAAUCUCCGGGCUUAACCCGGAAAGGUCAACCGAUACUGCGGGGCUAGAGUGCAGAAGGGGCAACUGGAAUUCUCGGUGUAGCGGUGAAAUGCGUAGAUAUCGAGAGGAACACCUGCGGCGAAGGCGGGUUGCUGGGCUGACACUGACGCUGAAACGCGAAAGGCUAGGGGAGCGAACGGG
rnacentral:rRNA from 1 species